ACCCUUGGUUAUGUGUGCACUUCUUAGAGGGACUGUCGGUUCCUAGCCGAAGGAAGUUCGAGGCAAUAACAGGUCUGUGAUGCCCUUAGAUGUUCUGGGCCGCACGCGCGCUACACUGAUACGUUCAUCGAGCUUACAACCUUGGUCGGGAGGCCUGGGUAAUCUUUUCAAAGCGUAUCGUGCUGGGGAUAGAUUAUUGUAAUUAUUAAUCUUCAACGAGGAAUUCCUAGUAAGCGCGAGUCAUCAACUCGCACUGAUUACGUCCCUGCCCUUUGUACACACCGCCCGUCGCUGCUACCGAUUGAAUGCAUUAGUGAGUCUUGGGGAUCGUUUCUCUUGAGGGUAAAACUUCGGGUUAGAUGAGAACCAAUACAAACUUGCGCAUUUAGAGGAAGCAAAAGUCGUAACAAGGUUUCCGUAGGUGAACCUGCGGAAGGAUCAUUACAACGUAUCCACGUAUAAACCUUAGUGAACCUGUUUAACCGCAUGAUGCAGUAUCGCAAAGUAUGAGCAAUUCGGAAAUAGAGCUCGUACCCGCCUGUCCUCGCGGCAGGGGAUGCUGUCAUUGUGUUUUUCCGUUACACAUAAACCACAUGUAAUUUUCUCUGUAAUUACGGUUUAAGGCGAAAGCUUUUAACUGAUAAAUAUAAGAA
rnacentral:rRNA from 1 species